CCCUGUCUCNAUUNCAAUAGCGUUGGAAAAAGGAAACUAACAAGGAUUCCCUUAGUAACGGCGAGUGAAGCGGGAAGAGCUCAAAUUUGAAAUCUUCAAGGUUUUACCUUGACGAAUUGUAGUUUAAAGAAGUGUUUUCUGUUGAAGUUUUGGUAAAAGUUCUUUGGAAUAGGACAUCAUAGAGGGUGAGAAUCCCGUAUUUGACCAUUAUUUUCAGCUGUGUGAUACACUUUCAAAGAGUCGGAUUGUUUGGGAAUGCAGUCCAAAAUGGGUGGUAAAUUUCAUCUAAAGCUAAAUAUUGGCGAGAGACCGAUAGCGAACAAGUACCGUGAGGGAAAGAUGAAAAGAACUUUGAAAAGAGAGUUAAACAGUACGUGAAAUUGUCAAAAGGGAAGCGUUUGACACCAGUGUUGUUUUCUCGAAAAUCAAUUAAAAAGAGUUGGAUUUUGUGUUGUAUUGACCUUAACAGCUUGCUUCACUCUUUUCCUGCUUUUUUUAAUGCACUUUUCGUUUAACAAGUCAACAUCAGUUUCUUUUGUUGUAAAAGGGUCAUUGGAAGGUGGCUUUCUCUUCGGAGAAAGUGUUUAUAGCCUUUGAUCUCUGCAAUCGGAGAGACUGAGGUCUGCAGCGUAGAUCCUUCGGGGUUAGAUACAUUUGUGCUAAGCUACAGCUUUUCAUAGACAACUUGUUGACUAUGUUUAGUCUUGUGACUUACCCGCUUAUGCUAUUUUACCUACGCUUAGGAUGUUGACAAAAUGGUUUUAAACGACCCGUCUUAAAAACNAGANGCCACAAA
rnacentral:rRNA from 1 species